rnacentral:rRNA from 1 species
UCCCAGCCGUAAACUAUGCAAACUCAGUGAUGCAUUGGCUUGUGGCCAAUGCAGUGUUGCAGGGAAGCCGUUAAGUUUGCCGCCUGGGAAGUACGUACGCAAGUAUGAAACUUAAAGGAAUUGGCGGGGGAGCACCACAAGGGGUGAAGCCUGCGGUUCAAUUGGAGUCAACGCCAGAAAUCUUACCCGGAGAGACAGCAGAAUGAAGGUCAAGCUGAAGACUUUACCAGACA